ensembl:snRNA U6 U6 spliceosomal RNA
UUUCGCGUUCACGAUCGAUCAUACACUAAAGUUGGAACAAUGCAGAGAUUAGCGCGGCCCCCGAACAAGGAUGAUAUACAAAUUUAUAAAGCAUUCCAUAUUAAA